AGAGUUUGAUCAUGGCUCAGGAUGAACGCUAGCGGCAGGCCUAAUACAUGCAAGUCGAACGGUCAGCAAUGACAGUGGCGCACGGGUGCGUAACGCGUAUGCAACCUACCCAUCAAAGGGGGAUAGCCCGGGGAAACCCGGAUUAAUACCGCAUAAGAUAGUAUUCUGGCAUCAGAGAGCUAUUAAACAUUUAUGGUUGAUGGAUGGGCAUGCGUUAGAUUAGCUAGUUGGUGUAGUAACGGUGCACCAAGGCAAUGAUCUAUAGGGGUUCUGAGAGGAAGAUCCCCCACACUGGUACUGAGAUACGGACCAGACUCCUACGGGAGGCAGCAGUAGGGAAUCUUGCACAAUGGGCGCAAGCCUGAUGCAGCGAUGCCGCGUGAGGGAUGAAGGCCUUCGGGUUGUAAACCUCUUUCGACAGGGAAGAAGCCACCUCUCAAGGUGGUGACGGUACCUGUAGAAGAAGCCCCGGCUAACUACGUGCCAGCAGCCGCGGUAAAACGUAGGGGGCAAGCGUUGCCCGGAUUCACUGGGCGUAAAGCGGGUGUAGGCGGUUCCUUAAGUCAGAUGUGAAAUCCAGCGGCCCAACCGCUGAAUUGCAUCUGAUACUGGGGGACUUGAGGACGGUAGAGGUCGGUGGAAUUCCCGGUGUACCGGUGAAAUGGGCAGAUAUCGGGAGGAACACCAGUGGCGAAGGCGGCCGACUGGGCCGAUCCUGACGCUGAGACCCGAAAGCCAGGGUAGCGAACCGGAUUAGAUACCCCGGUAGUCC
rnacentral:rRNA from 1 species